rnacentral:lncRNA from 1 species
CUUGCACAUGGGAGGAUCCCUUACACGCCUACAAGCAGCCUCCUGCUUCUCCUCCUCGGUCAUCCUAGGUGGGUUUGGUGGAGGAGGAACCCAACGCCUAAACUGAUGGUAUGGUUUAAGCUCUAUGCUAUGAUAUGGGAAUAGGCGGAUCCUAGGAUCAUAUUUGUUGGGUCCAUCAAUCCACUGAAAGAAAUCACAAGGUGCG